rnacentral:rRNA from 1 species
UGCAGUCGGACGACAGGCGAGGAAUCCGCAAGGAGGAAUCGUGCUGAGUGGCGAACGGGUGAGUAAGACAUGGGGACGUACCCUCAAGAGGGGGAUAGCAUUCCGAAAGGGAUGGUAAUACCCCGUAAGCUCGAGAGAGGGAAGGUGCAACAGCACCGCUUGAGGAGCGACUCAUGGCCCAUCAGUUAGUUGGUGAGGUAAAGGCCCACCAAGGCUAUGACGGGUAGCUGGUCUGAGAGGAUGGUCAGCCACACUGGGACUGAGACACGGCCCAGACUCCUACGGGAGGCAGCAGUGGGGAAUUUUUCCCAAUGGGCGAAAGCCUGAGGGAGCGACGCCGCGUGGAGGAAGGAGUCUUUCGAGAUGUAAACUCCUGUUGUAAGGGAGCAAGGGUAUAUGUAGUGGAAAGGCAUAUACUCGGAUAGUACCUUACGAGGAAGCCCCGGCUAACUACGUGCCAGCAGCCGCGGUAAUACGUAGGGGGCGAGCGUUGUCCGGAGUUACUGGGCGUAAAGGGUGCGUAGGUGGCCGAUAAAGUCAAUUGUGAAAUUCCACGGCUCAACUGUGGGAGUGCGGUUGAAACUAAUCGGCUUGAGGUCAGGUCAGGAAGAUGGAAUUGUCAGUGUAGGGGUGAAAUCCGUAGAUAUUGGCAAGAACGCCGGUGGUGAAGACGGUCUUCUGGGCUGAUACUGACACUGAGGCACGAAAGCUAGGGGAGCGAACGGGAUUAGAUACCCCGGUAGUCCUAGCCGUAAACGAUGUUCACUGAGUAUGGGAGGCGUUAGCCAUCCGUGCUGAAGCAAACGCGUUAAGUGAACCGCCUGGGGAGUACGGCCGCAAGGUUGAAACUCAAA